ensembl:lncRNA
CCCCCCCCCCCCCUCCUCUCGUGGAGGACGAUGCACAGAGUCGAUGGUUCCUGCGUCUUUAUUGCACCUGCUGGGACUUGGAGAGCCGUGCUGGACGGAGGGAACGAUGUGCAAUUCUUCCUCUGCUUGUCCUGGGCUGUGUCCCCCCCUAGAGUCCCCUCUGAGUCAUUACCAUGUAGUCCCGACUUUGUCCCCCACCCCCCAUAUGUGCAAUUCUCACUGUACUGACGAUGUUGACAUCUAAUUGCUAACUGUGAAUCUGAGGGUGUGGGCGACGGCCGCGCUCUCUCCAAAUGUACAUUCUGUUCAUAGUGAAGAAGGAACGUUGCAUUUAAUGAAGAAUCGUGCUUGAAGUGUCAUUCAUGUCACAAACGUUUAACUUUAAUGAAAUGAGUCGCAGCCCGUAGACGUAUUCUGGUUCCAGUGGGCGUAAAUCUCAACAAUGGUCUGUUUUUCAUUAUUUUGUCCCUCUUUAUUCGUUUGAGGCACUUGGAUCUUAACUGAUUUAAUUUACGUGUUUUCCCAGCUCACUGGAUUGGAAACGGAAUACUGAUAGCUGGUCCGUCACGUUGUUCUCCUACAUUUUAUUUGUGUGUGUGUUUGCUCACAAUGUGCAUUGUAUUAUACACUAUAAUUUUUUACUAGUGUCACAAUAAGCUUUUGACCAGGAGAUAUUGGUGGUUUGCAGAGAACUGGUUGAACGGUUUAGGUUGUUUUUUACUGCGCUUGUACACUACGUCACACUUCAGGGUAAUAUUUUCCUUUUCUACUUCAUUCAGGAGAACUUUUUUUUCUGUUUCUCUUGACUGAGCCUCCAGAAACAUCUGCCUCUUGCACAGGUUACAACACAUUCAGACAGGGUUUGAUUCCGUAUCAAAUCUACAAUUCAACACGACAAUGCAAUCUCAAUUUUGAAACAAGAGUCCAGGUAGGAGCGUAUUCCUUGAGUCAGGAUUUAUAAAUUUCUAUUGCCGAAAUUCUUUGCACUAGGAGUUUGGCUUUACAAAGGUCACUGUUUAAAGGUCAGGGGCCGUGUGUGUAAAACAUUGGUCCUACUGAUCCAUCUCGUCUCUUCACCUGAUCACUGAUCCCACACCAGGACUCCAAUACUCUUAAGCUUUAUGUACACCAAACUUUUUAUUAUUAUUUUUUUACUGUAUUACUUUUAAAGUUGCAAUAUGAAAUAGUCGUGUGGAAGGCUGAUGGCCGCCUGCUUUAAUCCAUCUGUCCACAAAGGACAUGGCGGUCUCGUUUAGCAGUGGAUGGAUGACUCAAUAAAAUGUGGGGGACAUAGAAAAUUGUCCUGCACUUUGUGGCUUUUAUGUGAAAUAUUAGGGGUUUUGUUAGUUUGGAGCAGUUAAUCCUCUGGAUCACCGGUCACUCAUGUCACGUUGCCUCUUUUGUAGAAUCAAUAUUUCAUUGUGCCAUGUAAUAUCAGAGGCUUUGAAAUAUUAAGUCAUUUCUGUGUUAGAACCAGCAUCACGCCAUUAUUUGAAAUGUAACAUCCAUGGGUUCAGUAUGACGGAGCUUAAAUAGGAAUGAAAUACGCCAAUAUGUUCUCAUUUCAGCUGGAGGAAGAAGACCAGAGCCGCUGAGCAUGAGCUUUUCUAUUAUGCUGGAGUCAAGGAACAUGAAUUCAGCAAUAAACGGUUUCAUUUUACAUGUCGACGGAGCAACUGAAUCCAUCUGAUGUUCCUUUUUUGUCAUUUUUGAAAUACAGAACACAAUGUAAAGGUUACAUCAUGCCAAUUAAAUCCCCUUUCUGAAUGCAUUUGCAUUGUUUGAAUUGUCAUUUUGCUCAGAAGAGGAAAUCCCCUCCCGGUUGGCCAGAGGAGGACUUGAACUGAGUGACGCAGUUCAAUUUGUGUUCAGCUGAAAUGCAUUCAGGUUCAUACGGAGAGAGAAUUCCUUUUGAAUGCAGUUUGUCUCGACAUAUUUUCAUUGGCUCAACCAUUUAAUACAAAAUACACAAAAAUAAAGCGUGCGUCCACCAUGUGAGUGAAUGAUCUCUGCAGGAAGCAGACAUGUCAGGUGUCUUAAAACGAUGAUCAAGAGCCUGUACGUGCGUAGUAAGGGACCUCUA